AUGCUUAGUACGUUCCCCUGUUUUAGCCUGAGGCCAGAGGAGGAGACUGUCUCCUGGCUGCACAGAUACAGCUCGGAGGAGGUUUGCAUCCCUGGUAACCCUUCACAGGACCUGCUGCGGGGAGCUGAGUGGUUUAUACCUGGUAGCCUGCGCCAAGAGGUGAGUGAGCCUUGGGGAAAACUGAAGCUAACUCCAGGGGGCCCCGUGUGGCCUCUCCCCAUCCCUCCCCUCCCCUCCCCUCUCCUCCAUCCCCUCCUUUUUCUUAAAAAAAAAAAAAAAAAGUUUACUUUUAUUUGUCUGCACUGGGUCUUUGUCGCGGCGCGCGUGCUCUUUGGUCUUUGCUGUGGUCUGCAAGACCGCUACUUGCUACUCGCGAACUCCUAGUUGUGGCGGCGGGAUCUGGUUGCCUGACCAGGGGUUGAACUUGGGUCCCCUGCAUUGGGAGCUUGGAAUCUUAGCCACUGGACCAGAGGGGAAGUUCCCUUCCUUCCUUCUUUCCUUUUUCCUUCUUUCUGCCUUUAAAUCUUGCUCUCCCUUUCUUCUUUUUCUUUCUUUUCCUUUUAUUAAAAAUGACCGAGAAGAUUUUCCUU
rnacentral:lncRNA from 1 species